AUGUUGUAUAGAGGAGAGAAGGUGAGCAGUCCCCUUAAUGAGGAUGGAAAAGGCCCUCAGCCCUGUGCAACACACGUAUAGUGAAGGCAUUUCCACCUACUUGGUGGCAUCACAUGAUUUUGA
ensembl:snRNA